UACGUAGGGUCCGAGCGUUGUCCGGAAUUAUUGGGCGUAAAGAGCUCGUAGGCGGUUUGUCGCGUCUGCUGUGAAUCCCGAGGCUCAACCUCGGGCCUGCGAGGUGGGUACGGCAGACGUGGAUGUGGCGGGUAGGGAGAUGGAAUUCCUGGUGUAGCGGUGAAAUGCGCAGAUAUCAGGAGGAACACCGGUGGCGAAGGCGGGUCUCUGGGCCGAUACUGACGCUGAGGAGCGAAAGCGUGGGGAGCGAACAGG
rnacentral:rRNA from 1 species